CUAAUAAUUCAAAAUCAUGAAAUAGCAAGUUUAAUAAUAAUUACAUGGUUCAUCGAUCACCUAGUUGCAGAAAUCUAGCCUAUCAUGAUAAAAAUAACGACAUCUAACAAAUAUGAAUAAAAUACAUCACCGGGUUAUCAAAACUUGAAGAAAUCUUGUAAAUCUCGCAUCAAUUCUUGUUCUUCCUUCAAAUCCACUCCAAGAUGAAUGUUUUUGCCUCCCAAUUCGUUCGUGCGGCUUCUGGAUGUUUUGUUGCUAUUUAAACCCGUCCAAAUUAGGUUACCAAAGGAGUUGCAAUCAUAUAAGGAAACUGCAAAAAUCGGGGAAAAAUUAUACCUAUGCGACCGCAUAGGCAUAAGAAAAAUGGCGUUUUUAAUCCCUGGAGGUUCACUCGCGACCGCAUAGGUUUUAUACUAUGCGACCGCAUAGUAGAGCUAACUUCUAGUUUGAGUCAUUUUGGUCCUCAAGUUUUAUUCCUUCACUCCUUGACCUCCUCUCUUGUUCCUAGUUGCUCCAAUGUUCCCUUAUAACUUCCAA
rnacentral:lncRNA from 1 species